GUUUCACUGAGUUCCUGAACAUGGAGAGACAAACACAGGGAAAUUGUUUAAACAUGAGAGUAGAAACAGGAAAGAAACCAGAAACCAGGAGUAGCUCAGGAUAAUUCUUUACAGUAAACUUUGUUACAUCCUCAACCUCAGGUCUGGACGGAGCCACAGGAGGUUCAGAUGAUUUCCCUGUUCUGUCUUUUGGUCUUUGGUUCCCGUUGGCCUGACAUAGAUGAGUACAGAUGACUGAUGCCAUUAAAAAAGAGAAAAAUCCAUGGGACUGAAGCCCAGACUCACAGCAUCUGCAGGUCGUGGAGGAACCAGAGGAGUCGGCUUCUCUUUUUUCUCCAGGUCAUUUUUCUUCAUCUGUGAUGAUGAUUU